rnacentral:rRNA from 1 species
GAUGAGCAUGCGUCCCAUUAGCUAGUUGGUAAGGUAACGGCUUACCAAGGCAACGAUGGGUAGGGGUCCUGAGAGGGAGAUCCCCCACACUGGUACUGAGACACGGACCAGACUCCUACGGGAGGCAGCAGUGAGGAAUAUUGGUCAAUGGGCGCAAGCCUGAACCAGCCAUGCCGCGUGCAGGAUGAAGCAUCUAUGGUGUGUAAACUGCUUUUGUACGAGAAGAAACACUCCUUCGUGAAGGAGCUUGACGGUAUCGUAAGAAUAAGGACCGGCUAACUCCGUGCCAGCAGCCGCGGUAAUACGGAGGGUCCAAGCGUUAUCCGGAAUCAUUGGGUUUAAAGGGUCCGUAGGCGGUUUUGUAAGUCAGUGGUGAAAGCCCAUCGCUCAACGGUGGAACGGCCAUUGAUACUGCAAGACUUGAAUUAUUAGUAAGUAACUAGAAUAUGUAGUGUAGCGGUGAAAUGCUUAGAUAUUACAUGGAAUACCAAUUGCGAAGGCAGGUUACUACUAAUAUAUUGACGCUGAUGGAC